rnacentral:rRNA from 1 species
AGUGAACGCUGGCGGUAGGCCUAACACAUGCAAGUCGAACGGCAGCACAGUAAGAGCUUGCUCUUACGGGUGGCGAGUGGCGGACGGGUGAGGAAUACAUCGGAAUCUACUCUGUCGUGGGGGAUAACGUAGGGAAACUUACGCUAAUACCGCAUACGACCUAAGGGUGAAAGCAGGGGACCGCAAGGCCUUGCGCGAUUGAAUGAGCCGAUGUCGGAUUAGCUAGUUGGCGGGGUAAAGGCCCACCAAGGCGACGAUCCGUAGCUGGUCUGAGAGGAUGAUCAGCCACACUGGAACUGAGACACGGUCCAGACUCCUACGGGAGGCAGCAGUGGGGAAUAUUGGACAAUGGGCGCAAGCCUGAUCCAGCCAUACCGCGUGAGUGAAGAAGGCCCUCGGGUUGUAAAGCUCUUUUGUUGGGAAAGAAAAAACUUUGGUUAACACCCAAAGUCUUGACGGUACCAGGAGAAUAAGCACCGGCUAACUCUGUGCCAGCAGCCGCCGUAAUAC